GUGUGCUGGAAAGCGGUUCUGGUAUUAGGAGGAGGCGUGACCACCCAAUAGGCUUCUCUUCCCGCGGGGCGUGGCCGUCAAAGAGCUGGACGCCGCGCCUGGCUGGGCGGGUCAGCUGCGUAGCGGACGGCGUGGACUCGGCCGCGCAGCGGCUCCUUUAAGGCUCGGGCACCACCCCCGCCGCCCCGCCUCCCGCGCGGCCUGGGUCUAGUUUGCGGUGGGGUCGGGUCCGCGCUAACCGCGAUGGAGCUGCACAUCCUAGAACACCGGGUGCGGGUGCUGAGCGUCGCCCGUCCGGGUCUCUGGCUCUACACCCACCCGCUCAUCAAGCUGCUCUUCCUGCCCCACCGCAGCCGGUGCAAGUUCUUCAGCCUGACGGAGACCCCUGAGGAUUACACACUUAUGGUGGAUGAGGAGGGCUUUAAAGAGCUGCCCCCAUCUGAGUUUCUGCAAGUAGCUGAGGCCACAUGGCUGGUGCUGAACGUGUCGUCUCACAGCGGUGCGGCAGUGCAGGCUGCUGGGGUUACCAAGAUCGCCCGCUCGGUCAUCGCGCCACUGGCCGAGCACCACGUGUCUGUGCUGAUGCUGUCCACUUACCAGACGGACUUCAUCCUGGUGCGGGAGCAGGACCUGUCCGUGGUGAUCCACACGCUGGCCCAGGAGUUCGACAUUUACCGCGAGGUGGGCGGAGAGCCUGUGCCUGUGACGAGGGAUGAUUCCAGCAAUGGCUUUCCCCGCACUCAGCAUGCAGGGCUCAGCCCCACGGUGCAUCCCAUCCAGAGCCCACAGAACCGCUUCUGUGUCCUCACACUGGACCCUGAGACGCUUCCAGCCAUCGCCACCACCCUCAUAGAUGUCCUCUUCUACUCGCACAGCACCCCCAAGGAGGCAGCCUCUAGCAGUCCUGAACCCAGCUCCAUCACGUUCUUUGCCUUCUCCCUCAUCGAGGGUUAUAUCUCCAUUGUCAUGGAUGCUGAAACACAGAAAAAGGGUGGAUGGGGGUGCCCUGCCCAUCACCCAUCUCCUUCCCCAGGUUCCCCAGUGACCUGCUGCUGACCAGCUCCUCAGGGGAGCUGUGGAGGAUGGUGCGCAUUGGCGGACAGCCCCUGGGCUUUGAUGAAUGUGGCAUCGUGGCGCAGAUUGCGGGUCCCCUGGCAGCCGCUGACAUCUCUGCCUACUACAUCAGCACCUUCAACUUCGACCACGCCCUGGUGCCCGAGGACGGUAUCGGCAGCGUCAUCGAGGUCCUCCAGCGGCGGCAGGAAGGCCUGGCUUCCUGAGUCCCAUGGGGAACAGAGCAGCCACCCUGCUCUCCCCUCGACCCAGGCUUCCAAAGACUUCUCUAAAGCUAUUUCCUUAAGCUCCGGAAUGAGCCCCCUGUUCUGCCGGGGACCCUCGUUCUGCUCUCUGUAUGUAAGCUGCGUGCGGGCACCGGCUUUUACGCAGACACCUGUGUGCAUUCGCAGGUGGAGUGGGCAGGUGCUAGCCUGACUGCGUGUCUGCCCACACAGGGGAACACGGUGCUCGGGGCUUAAGCCCCCAACCCAUCACUCCCUGCGCGGCCUCGGCGUUUGCACAGUCCCUGCCUGAGGCCCAAGCCACCCCCCUCAGCCUUCUUGGGCCAGCUGUCCCCCAGACAGGGCCCUGACCUCUGUUCUGCCUCUGGUGGGGUUGCCUUCCCUGGCCAGGUGAGUCCUGACAGUGCCUCCCCCUCUGGGGCCGCCGAGAAAAGCAUUUUGACAAUCUCUCUCUCUUCUGUUUUUAUUGACUUGUUAAUAAAGGACUUUGUAGUGAC